rnacentral:lncRNA from 1 species
UGAAUCACUCCUUCCUCUGUGUCCGGGAAACACUGGGCAGAGCUCUCCAUUAGCAGGGAUUGUAGUCAAUUUCAGUUUCGUCUAUUUAUACAUCUGUCUCCCUCUCAGUCCCAGGAUGGGACAACCCAUCCCAGCCAUCUUUCCUUCUCCAGUGCUUGAUACAGAGCUGGCACCUGAUACAAACUCAGCUGAUGUUUAUUGAAUGAAUCACUGAAUCACAAUUGGAAUGAGCACCUAUUGAGCACCAACUGUGUACCAGGUUCAUCUUUGGCCAUCCCUUCCUCCAGUGCCGUCUUCCCUCCGUGGACCAUCUCAUCCAUCCUGUGUCUCAGGAGGCAAGGUAAGGGGGCCCAGGUGAGGGGCAUAAAUAACCCAAGGCACCCAGGACUGAUAUUUAAGCACACACUCC